GACGAACGCUGGCGGCGUGCUUAACACAUGCAAGUCGAACGAUGAAGCCGGAGCUUGCUCUGGUGAAUUAGUGGCGAACGGGUGAGUAACACGUGAGUAACCUGCCCUUGACUCUGGGAUAACUGCGGGAAACUGUAGCUAAUACCGGAUACGACCCUCGGAGGCAUCUCCUGGGGGUGGAAAGAAUUUCGGUCAAGGAUGGGCUCGCGGCCUAUCAGCUAGUUGGGGAGGUAAAGGCUCGCCAAGGCGACGACGGGUAGCCGGCCUGAGAGGGUGAACGGCCACACUGGGACUGAGACACGGCCCAGACUCCUACGGGAGGCAGCAGUGGGGAAUAUUGCACAAUGGGCGCAAGCCUGAUGCAGCAACGCCGCGUGAGGGAUGACGGCCUUCGGGUUGUAAACCUCUUUUAGCAGGGAAGAAGCGAAAGUGACGGUACCUGCAGAAAAAGCACCGGCUAACUACGUGCCAGCAGCCGCCGCCG
rnacentral:rRNA from 1 species